CUUAAUUUUUUUAACUUCUGAUCCUCAACUUACAUAGUUUCAGAUAGCAGUCCGAGAUUUGUUCAGGAUCAAUCAAUCAAUCCAUAGUUUCCUGUCAGAUUUUAGUAGUUAAUUUUGUUAAAUUUUAAAGCACUAGGAGUAGAAUCUUUACUGGUUAGUGCUAAACUUUGUUUGGCAGUAGGAUAAGUGAAUUUCUCUUUACGUGUUAUUCCUUUUUUUUAUGCCGACGUGUAUGCUGGAUACACACUUUGAAGCAAUGCUGUCUCAUCAUUAUUUCAAAAUUCAACUUAUUUUGUGUGUUGCGCACCUGGAAUAAAUCAUCAACAAUUUUGACCACAAAUGAAAGAAAAAUUGACAAAUGGCAAAACUAACCUGGUAUACUUAUCCAUUUCAUCUUUUUCUAGAAAAAGGCUACUUUGUCAUGACUAAUCUAUGUUGGUGCACUGAAUGUUUGCAUUAUCCACUGUAUCAAAAUUUGGAUCCCACCCCCGGACCAUGGCAUGUUGUGGUGAAUGUUACCCGAAUGUAACUGACUAAUAUCGAUGCCUGGCAAAAAUCAUAUCAGUUUGAACUUGGGUUUCAUAGAAAUUGUAUGUACUGCAGUUUCGUAGUUGCUCGGAUUUUCUGAUUUUUUUCUAUAUAUAUUGCUUAGAGUUAUAUGAUGUUUAAAGAGUAACAAUGAACCGCCGUCAUCAUAUCCGAGGCCUCCUUGAGUUCGGCUAACGUCACAAAAGAUCGCGAAUCUUGAGGCUUGUCAAAUAGUGGCGAGGGUUGCAGUUCGUUGCCCAAGUAGACGUGGUUUGCCGAUCUCGACGGGGGAUGGUGCGCCUGGUGUUCAUGUCGGCUGUCGCCUGGGCGGUCCUUGUGCUCCUUCCUCGUCGCCCUUGUCUUGCACCUCUACCCCUGAAACUCCUCUGGCACCUUCCUCUCUUGUCAUGCCACUCGGCUUCCCUUGUGUCUCCCCGCUAAUCAACGACGAGCUCCCACACGCUGAUUACCUUUUUUAUGAGAUGGUUGAAUAGUUUCCUCGUAACCAUUUUUCCAAUUUUAUAUUGUGUUCCAUAAACUUUGUUUCUUCUAUGAUGCUGCCUUAUUGAUGAGAUUUUGAAGCUCUACCAAUAGCUGAAUCCAACGUGUGUAGCUGUGUAAAAUUACAGAGACAUGUAAAUAUUUGUAUCAUAUAGUAUUAACAUGUCACUCCAAUUCUUGCUGUAUGAGAUAGUCAUCAGUGGAGAUUGUAUGAUGUCAUGUGAAACUGUCUGAGUUGUUCGGAUGGAUGCAAUGAGAUCUUAGCAAUAACUUUUGCAUAUGCUUGAUGUCAUCUUAUGUAAUUUUUAUUUUCGUUGCAACGCACGGGCACUCAACUAGCAAAAAGUUUGUGGACUAAUUUCAAAACGGAUCCGGAUCUGCUGAAUUAAUUACUCUGGCAUCUUGUUGUGUAGGGGACAUGCAUGUAACCGUAAAGGAUGAGGCUGAUGCUAGCUUGAAGCUGGAUGACAAAGUUGAUGGAGUUGCCUUCUGUCAAACGGAUGCUAUGGAUAUAUCACAAAGGAAUCUUCUCAAAGGUUUAACUUCUGAUGAAAGUGUUGUAGUUAAGGAUUCCUUGACACUAGGAGUGGUGAUUGUCAAGCAUUGCGGAUAUACAGAGACUGUGGAGGUUUCUGGACGCACGAAAGACUAUAAUGAUGUCUAAGAAUACGGCUCCCAAAAAUUAUCAAUCCAGAAACUGCUGUUGGUAAUCGUACCCUACCCCAAAGUCUCAUGGUGAUAUUCCUGCAAGGAAAAUAGCACGUACAGUACUUGAAGACAGCUUGAUAAAGCUGGAUAGCAUGCCUUGCAAAAAUCCUAGAAUUAUCAGAUGGGAACUUGGGUCCUGGCUGCAAUACUUUCUGAAAAAGGAUUCUCCAGUAUCUGAGAAUGGUAAGGGGAAUGCAACAAAUGGUGACAAAAAGUCAGCUGUCAAAGGUCUUGGAAAGCAUUUUGAACAGUUAAGGAAGAUUAAAAAGAAAGAAUGCAAUAUUGAAGGUUCCAGCUCUGAGAAGGAAGAACCUAACUGUUUGCCGAUGAAUGGUAUGCAAGAAUCGGAUAAAAUAGCAGUUGAUGAAACAAAUAAGGAGGCUGAUAUAAGCAAGCUAAUGUCAGAGGAUGCUUUCUUUCACUUGAAGAGUUUGAGAGCUGGUCUUCAUGAAAAGGUGAUUUAAAUCUGCAGGUUCACUCUCUUAGAAUUCUCUUUUAAGAUGGCUAGAACUAUGCUUCUGGGCAGCUUGUAAAUUCUCUCUAAAAUGCUUGUACGUAAACCUCCUUUUCUAUUGCUAAUAUAUAGAACAAUAGGUGCCUCCCCUACUGUAGUAUCCUCUACUAUAGUUCGUAAAAACAAAUAUGCAAGUUCACAUGAUUAUUUUAGAGUUUCUGAACACGAUUAAUUGAUAUCUUCUGUUAUAGAGAGUUUAACUUAUGUUUCGAUGAAUUUUUUCAUGCUAUUUCAC